rnacentral:rRNA from 1 species
GUGGGGAAUAUUGGACAAUGGGGGGAACCCUGAUCCAGCCAUGCCGCGUGUGUGAAGAAGGCCUUUUGGUUGUAAGCACUUUAAGUGAGGAGGAGGCUACCGAGAUUAAUACUCUUGGAUAGUGGACGUUACUCGCAGAAUAAGCACCGGCUAACUCUGUGCCAGCAGCCGCGGUAAUACAGAGGGUGCAAGCGUUAAUCGGAUUUACUGGGCGUAAAGCGCGCGUAGGUGGCCAAUUAAGUCAAAUGUGAAAUCCCCGAGCUUAACUUGGGAAUUGCAUUCGAUACUGGUUGGCUAGAGUAUGGGAGAGGAUGGUAGAAUUCCAGGUGUAGCGGUGAAAUGCGUAGAGAUCUGGAGGAAUACCGAUGGCGAAGGCAGCCAUCUGGCCUAAUACUGACACUGAGGUGCGAAAGCAUGGGGAGCAAACAGGAUUAGAUACCCGUGUAGUCC